GGGGCCCUCCAGUCCACAGAAAGCUUACCCAGGCUCAGAGCCCACGGCAGGCAGCAUCCCCAGGCCUUGCACGGCAGAGCAGAAUUUCUCAGCCAGAGACCAGCAAUCCAGGAAGUGCAGGAUCGGCGAGUCCUGCAAGUCCUUUCCAAGGACGCAGCACAGUGGCCACAGGCCUCCCACGAGACCCCACGGUGCAAGGGCCCCAGACCUCCUGGGGGUGCACAUCUGCUGGACACUUAUGCAACGGGGCACUGAGGCCCGCUCCAGUGGAGGAGAAAGCACGUUUACGACUGCCUGCCGGUAAUGACUUCCCUUUGCUUGAAUCAGUUGGUCCAAAAGCUGUGUUAUUUUCCUGGCUCCACUUAUUCAUGUCCUUAAACCGCAGGGGGCUAAGGUUACAGCAGACUUAGUCCUAGCCAGAGAGCAGGCGAGUCUGGACAAGUGAAGAGCAUACAUUUUAACUCAUGUGGGAAUGCAGGAAGAGCAACACCGUGCCUGUCUCCCUUUCUGCUGCUAUUGGAGAAGUGCUUGGAAUUGUCUGGAAAGGAAUAAGACUGAAGUUGGUGAGGAUAACUGAGAUCUACACAAGGGAGUCGAUGCCAAGAACUACAGGAAUCACAAUGGGAAUGAAAUAAACAAACAUGGAACAGAGUGGACCCUGUGUGGGCAGCUGAGCGAGAUGGACAGUCAUAAGUAACCCUCAGGACUUUGGCUUGAAAUCAUUUAUACAUGGGGCUGGCCUUUGUUCAGACAAGAAAGGAAAAUACAGUAAAGUGCAAAUGAUAUCUGUGUUAGUCUUUGUUGUGUUAAAGUGUCCAACUAUUUUAGUUUUACAAGCAGAAAAUGACUGCAUCUCAUUCAGAGAUUUUCAGAUUGUGGAAAUGUGCUUCACUGCUAUAGAUUCUUGAAUGAAGUAACAGCAAGUGUAUUUUUCUUCAGUGUAACUGUUGUGUUUUAGAUAGAAUGUUCCCCAAAAGCUCAUGUGGUCAGAGGCAGGGAUUUGGAAGGUGACUGAUCGUGGGGCACCUUAGCCAUCAGUGGAUUCAUCCUGAUGGGUUCACAGCUGAAUGUGCUGUUAGCAGUUGGAGCCUGGUGGGAAGAAG
rnacentral:lncRNA from 1 species